UGCGUAGGCGGGUUUCUAAGUCAGAGGUGAAAGCCUGGAGCUCAACUCCAGAACUGCCUUUGAUACUGGAAGUCUUGAGUAUGGCAGAGGUGAGUGGAACUGCGAGUGUAGAGGUGAAAUUCGUAGAUAUUCGCAAGAACACCAGUGGCGAAGGCGGCUCUCUGGACCGAUACUGACGCUGAGACGCGAAAGCGUGGGUAGCAAACA
rnacentral:rRNA from 1 species